rnacentral:rRNA from 1 species
UCGGGAAUUUUGGGCAAUGGGGGAAACCCUGACCCAGCAACGCCGCGUGAAGGAUGAAGUAUUUCGGUAUGUAAACUUCGAAAGAAUAGGAAGAAUAAAUGACGGUACUAUUUAUAAGGUCCGGCUAACUACGUGCCAGCAGCCGCGGUAAUACGUAGGGACCAAGCGUUGUUCGGAUUUACUGGGCGUAAAGGGCGCGUAGGCGGCAAUUCAAGUCAUCUGUGAAAUCUCCGGGCUUAACUCGGAACGGUCAGAUGAUACUGCUUUGCUAGAGUGCAGAAGGGGCAAUCGGAAUUCUUGGUGUAGCGGUGAAAUGCGUAGAUAUCAAGAGGAACACCUGAGGUGAAGACGGGUUGCUGGGCUGACACUGACGCUGAGGUGCGAAAGCUAGGGGAGCAAACGGGAUUAGAUACCCUUGUAGUCCCUGAGCGGGCUGGCAAGGCGCAU